rnacentral:rRNA from 1 species
AGAGGUCCCAAGCGUUGUUCGGAUUUACUGGGCGUAAAGGGUGCGUAGGUGGCGAGGUAAGUUUGAUGUGAAAUCUCCGAGCUCAACUCGGAAAUGGCAUUGAAUACUAUCCCGCUUGAGGGUCGGAGGGGAGACUGGAAUUCUCGGUGUAGCAGUGAAAUGCGUAGAUAUCGAGAGGAACACCAGUGGCGAAGGCGAGUCUCUGGACGACUCCUGACACUGAGGCACGAAAGCUGGGGGAGCAAACAGGAUUAGAUACCCUGGUAGUCCUAGCUGUAAACGGUGCACGUUUGCUGUAAGAGGAAUCGACCCCUUUUGUGGCGAAGCUAACGCGUUAAACGUGCCGCCUGGGGAGUACGGUCGCAAGAUUA